GUGUGAAUUGGCUUUCCCAACUGGUUUCAAGAACCAUGUCAGGACUGGAAAAGAAAAGCCAGCAGUAUGCCG
rnacentral:SRP_RNA from 1 species